GAAGGAUUUCUCCUCUCAUCCACGUCCCUCUCCCACCAGGAAGGUGGGGCACAUGAAGUUGCUUACUAUACUGGAAGCAGCAUCAAUAACAGGACAAUGAUCCACCAACAUAUUCCUGCCAGGAAUUAUUUGCAGACAAAAACGAUCCAUCAAGUUACAAAGAGAAGCCUGACAGAAUAUAGGCUCAAUACAGCAGACUUUGCAGGAAUUUCUAUCAAUCCUAUCACAAUUCCGCCCUCCUACUGGAGCAGCACAGCCAUGAAUGCUGACCAGCAUCAACCAGCUGAUUAAGACACAAAUCUCAAUAUUACUAAUAAAACAGCAAGUGUCAGAAAUAA